UACGGGGGGGGCAAGCGUUGUUCGGAAUUACUGGGCGUAAAGGGUUCGUAGGUGGCUCGCUAAGUCAGACGUGAAAUCCCUCAGCUUAACUGGGGAACUGCGUCUGAGACUGGCAAGCUCGAGUGCAGGAGAGGAACGCGGAAUUCCAGGUGUAGCGGUGAAAUGCGUAGAUAUCUGGAGGAACACCGGUGGCGAAGGCGGCAUUCUGGACCAUAACUGACACUGAGAGACGAAAGCCAGGGGAGCAAACGGG
rnacentral:rRNA from 1 species